rnacentral:rRNA from 1 species
GGUUGACUGCCGGCUAAAAAGUCGGAGGAAGGUGGGGAUGACGUCAAAUCAUCAUGCCCCUUAUGACCUGGGCUACACACGUGCUACAAUGGGCGGUACAAAGGGUCGCGAACCCGCGAGGGGGAGCCAAUCCCAAAAAGCCGCUCUCAGUUCGGAUUGCAGGCUGCAACUCGCCUGCAUGAAGCCGGAAUCGCUAGUAAUCGCGGAUCAGCAUGCCGCGGUGAAUACGUUCCCGGGCCUU